rnacentral:lncRNA from 1 species
GGCAUUGGGGGCGGGAACAGGGCGAGGACGGGGCGGGGCCAUUUGUGCGCUCGCUCCGCUCAGCCCCGGCUGCGGAGCUUGCGGGGGCCGGUGAUGCACCACCACCAGCACUGCGGAAAGUUCGGACCAACGCGCAAUCAGACCGAGGGAGGGACCGGCUAGAGGCCGCGGGUGAGUUCCUGGCCCGGCGGGGUCUCGAGCUGUUGAAGGUCACUGUCUUGGUCACCAGGUACCGCACCCGUCUGGAGCCCUCCCUUGGUUGUGCCGCAGUCUUUGGGGCGGGGCUCUCCGAGAGGGGGCGGGAAGCUCCGGAGCCGCAGGCUCUGGGAAACGGGUCGGGAAAGACGGGAGUGUCUUCCAGGGAGUCUGAUUUAGUCCCUGGGGGCAGGGUCGGCCCUUGGAUGCGGCGGGGAGAGACAGUCCUGGUCCAGAUCCCCGCUUCCCGGCCAAAUCCCUUCCCAGACACGGGCCCUCUCCGCCCCAAUCACCCGGACUGGGAGUUCUUCCUCCCGCCCUGCCCGAGUGCCCUUCCUAGGCCUGUCAAGUGCAUCUCCCUGGGUUGUGGUCAGAGCUCAUCGCGACCCGGGGCUCCUGCGGUGCUGAGGACUCAGACCUGAGAGUCCAAGCAGGCUCCAGAGGCCUUCCUGGGAGACGGAACACAGGGUCGCCCAGGGGCAAAGUGGAGGGAGACCAGGGAGAAGAGACGCUCCUGGGGCGCAGUCCUGCCCUGCCCUGCCUGCUGGGCCCAGGGCCCUAAGGGGAGGGAGCUGGGUACCAGGCUUCCGUCGCCUUCCACAGGGCAGCUCCUGUCCAGGGUACAGGUCUUCAGGGCCCUCCAGCCUCCCCUACUCUUCUCUAGCCCUGCCCCUCAUCCUCCAGGCUGUGCCUCAGUCUUGGACUUGGUCAGUGCUGGUCUCUGGUUGGAAUGCGCUGUCUCUGCUGCCUCUAAUCGCAAGUGUCCAGAAACCCUGUCCUGAUAUCUAUUGAGUUGGGUGACUCCUUUGCCCACCACAUGCCUGCCCAGCACUGACCACCUGUCUUUGUCACCAAUUAUGCAGCCUGCCUCCCUCCUCUAGGCCUGGAGCUCUGGGAGGGCAGGGGCUGUCCCCGUCCUGAGCUGGACCUGGGACUGGUGCUGCUCACCUCCCCACCACCACACUGUCGCUGCCCUCCAGUCAUGGCGCCCCUGCUCGUGCUGUUCCUGGCCGUCCUGGUGGGCCUGCCUCUAGGUAAGGUAGCCAAGGCCAGAGGGGUGCAAGACCCAUGUUUGGGGGAAGCAGGCUGGAAGUGGAGAGGCUGGCUACAAUUCCCAGUGACCACCUUUCCUUUCCUUCCAGUUGUCCCGCGGUGGGGAGGGAUUGGGCUGGGCAGUGGGUGGGGCUUCUCCCAGUUCUGUGACCACCCCCUCAUCCUGACCCAAGCCCAGGCUCUGGACUGCCAUGUGUGCGCCUACAAUGGAGACAAUUGCUUCAACCCCAUGCGCUGCCCGGCCAUGGUCACCUACUGCAUGACUACACGUACCUGUGAGUCUGGCAGACCCUGGUCCCUGCCCCAGAGCAUUGGGGUACAGGAGGGAGGGUCCUUCCUGGGAGUUCCUGCUGAGGGUCUGCUUAAUGGCCCUGCAUGCCGGGAUUGAGCCAGGCAGAGUCCCUCCCCUCUCAGGAAGGCCUUCUUGCCUCUUCAGACUACACCCCGUACAAGAUGAAGGUCAGCAAGUCCUGCGUGCCCAGAUGCUUUGAGACUGUGUAUGACGGCUACUCCAAGCACGCGUCCACCACCUCCUGCUGCCAGUACGACCUCUGUAAUGGUGCUGGCUUGGCUGCCCCAGGGACCCUGGCCCUGGCCCCCCUUCUCCUGGCCACCCUCUGGGCCCUGCUCUAAAGCCCUGGUUCCCCGGCAGACCUACUCGAGGACAGAGCUCUCAAGAGACAGCUGCACGCUCUCACAUGGUGUCCCCACCUGACAUUCUGCCUCCCAAGACCCCCUCAGCCACACCCGGACACAGAGCUGUCUGCAGAGGGACUCCUGGCCUCCCACCGCCCACAAGGCCUCACUCUGAGGCCACGGGCUUUCAUUUUUAAACAGCUGCUGUGUGGGACUGGGCCUCCCAAGGGUGCCUGGCCUUGGUGGGCAGGCUGGGCCCUGCCUGGGUCCAGGGACAGAGAUCUGGGAAAGUGCUGUUUAUGGGGAGGUCCAUCAGCGGAGAAGCACUGAUUUGAUGGGAGUAGCGCCAGCCCCACCCUGUGUGCAGCAGCUGGUGGGUGUGCUGGAGCGGGAGGGAGACAGGAACCCACUGUGGGGCAGGCAAACCCAGCAGGACCUCCCUGCAUCCUACUGAGGCCAGCUGCUGCCCGGGGCAUGUGAGGAGGAACUCUCAUUGUCAGCUGUCACAGGAACUGUGCCUGGCCUGGUGUCUGAGUGGCCCUCAGCAUAGGAGGGGUCGCCCUGCCUCGACAGACCCAAGGAGAGAUUUGUGCCCUCCUGAUCAGCCAGACCUCUAGCUUUCCCAUCCCCACCCCCACCCGGGUGCUGGACAAGCUUCAUCAGCCCAAGACUGGCAGGACUUGGAGUGGGCAGGCCAAGCUAUAUUUGGUCUAGCCUGCACUGACCAGGGCCAGGGCUAUUCUGGGCAGGCCAGGGCAGAUAGGCCACCAGGCCUGGUCCUCAGCCCAGUGGCCCUGGUAGAGAAAGAAAUGUGCCCACAAAUCAGGCAGCCUUGGGGAACAGGAGGACCCAAGGGACAGUGAAGUGUGACAACAGGAGUGGGAUCCGAGGCUGCCUCCUGGGUCCUGCAGGCCCCUCCGCCCUGCUGAUUGUUCUAGAUCUCAACAGAAGGGAAGGAGUACCCAGGGAGGCCCCCAGGGCUGCACCCUCUGCCUGAGGGCCCUUGACCCCAGGAGCUCCACCCAGCCCAGAGCUGGGAGGCUGGGUCUGCCCAACACCUGCCAUUCAAAUGUAGAGGGCCUGGGGAGCAUCUGUCCUUUCCAGUGAGACCAGAUGGGGCUGGAUCCUCUUCCCUGACCAGUGCCCCAGACCAGUGCUGGCUGACAAGACCCUGAAGCUGAUCCAGCCCAGGUGGGCAGGAUGGUGGCCAAUGUUCAUGUGUAGCAUUAUCCCUGGCUCCAAAGCACGGUCCUCAUGGGGGAGGCCUGCUGGACGCUGCAUCCUGAGACCUUUGCUUGUGACUACACCUCCAGGGGUGUUCAGGAGAUGAGGACUUCCAUCCUGGGGCUCCUCUCCCCAGCCUGAUGCUGGGGCUGGGGGGUGGAUUUUCCCACCUCCGUUAGCUUCUCUGGAGACAGGUAGCUGGAUGGGGAAGUGGAGUCCCACGGAGGGCUCACCAGUUCCUCAGGGAGGACAGUGUGGACCUCUUGCAGAGGUGACUCUGGUGGGAAGGGGCCCAGGGGUAAGAGCACAUUGACUUCCCAGAGAGAGAAAGGAGUAGCACACACAGGGGGCAGGCCUGGACACACACUGUGGGGCCAGUGCCAGGCCCAAGAGACCACCCUGGCUCCAACUGACAUCUCCUUCCCCCAAGGCCCUCUUUGCAGGCUGGCAGAAAGCCAGGUACUGACCUGAGCUCCCACUGGACCCCCACCAGCAGGCAGCCAGCCUCAAGACAGUAGUGACCAGUGCAGGUCUCAAAGUACUGGCUGGGGGCAAGGGACAGGUGUGGGCCCUGACUCCAUGGGAAUGGCCCAGGAAGCUGUCACUACCCCACUUGUGCAAGUCCAUUGUCCCCAGUCAGAUGGCAUCCUGUGACAGAGCUGUGUGGGGCCCCAGGCUGGUCCUUCCUUUGCUCUCUGUAGCUCCCCAGGGUGGCUGGAAUGCUGCAGGGGCAGCUGCUCAGACCUGCCUCCUACAUCUAUCUGUCCAUGUCUCCCCCCCCUGACCUGCCCCAGCCCAGUGACCACACUGCCCCCAACCCCAGUACUGUGCUGCCCGUGCCACCUCCACAGCCAGGGGUCCUGCCUGCCUGGCCUGUCCCUGGGACCUACUACAGAGCAUGUGGAAGGUGUCCUGCUGGGCCAAGGCUGGCCGAGGGAAGUGACGGCUUGCAUACUGGGGAAUUGGGACAGCAGUGCUGGGGGUUGGCCUGUCCUGAUCCUGCCCACUCCCACUGCAGCUGGCUCUGAGCACUCCAUGGCAGCCUGCAAGGCAGGAGCCACAGCCAUGCCCCAACAGGCGAGGAGACUGAGGCCCAGAGAGGGGAAGCCAUUAGUUGCCCCAAGGCCAGCUGGCCUCCCACAGGCCCGCAGCCCAGCCACCUUGCAGGUUCUUCCCCCACAGGCUGCUCCUCCAGGCCUGGGAGUGGGUGGAGUGCUUAGAACCUUCAGAGUCUUGCCAUGUUAUGUAAGAACCUAGGAGCAGGAAAGCUUGGAAGGGAAAAUUGGAACCAUAGGUUUGAGAAGCCACAGGCCAGUCGCAUCCAGUCCUGCAACCGGCUGUGAAGGGGAAGGCGGUGAACAGGCAGAGGAGGGCAGAGGGGCACUGGGCACCAAGGGCUGGCCCUCCUGCCUGCGUCUGGGCUCAGGUCUGCAGGCCAGGCAGUGGAUGUCCCUGCUCUGGGAGAAAUAAGAGCCCCUCCAAUGUGGGUGAGUGCUCAGGGCCAUUCGCUGCUGCUCUCUGUGGAGUCCCGGCCUCGAGACAAGCUUCGGUUGACACUGUGGUGCCAAGAGUGUUGUGUGUUCUCCGUGGCCCUGUCUAGCUGCCGCUCUGGCCACCGCCUGCAGGCCAGGCCUGCACCAGCAGCAAAAGGCACGCUCGGCAGCUGUGGGCCUGGGCUGGCCCUGUCACAGAGAGGCUGUGAGGUGGAACUGUGGCAGGCCAGGCCCUGCCGUGACAUCUGGACUCUCCCCGGGAACUGGAGGUGGGAAGGGAGGCGACUGGCAGCUGCACCUCCCAGCUUCCUCUCAGUGCCGGUCACAGGGCAUGUGUGUUCUCAACCCCAACUCUGAAGACACACAGAAAUAGAGGGUCCCCUUUCCUCGCCACUCCAUCCCUUCCCUAGCACACUUUGUGGGUCCCAGAACUCUGGGCUUCUCAGCAGAGCUCCAAACCUCAGCCCUCUCGUUGACAAGACGGCCAUGGGUGUAAGUUUCCAGCCUGGGGCCCGGACACCAGGGGCCCCAGAUGGGUGGUGCCCUUCCAUCCUAACUCCCUAGGGUCCAGGAGCUUCCUGGGGCCAUGUGCCUGCCAGCAGCUAACGUUAACCCUAAGUCCCAACUCGCACCUGGCCAGGAUGUGAAAUGCCACCCCUGUGCCACAGGUGCCCCUUUACUUAGCACACAUACCCAGCCCCCAGGAGAGGUCCUGUCAGUGUCCCCUGUGGAAUGCAUGAAUAAAUGGACAGAUGCAUGUGUCUGCCCC